AUUGAACGCUGGCGGCAGGCCUAACACAUGCAAGUCGAGCGAGCGGCGGACGGGUGAGUAAUGUAUGGGGACUGCCCGACAGUUGGCGCUAACUACUGGAAACGGUAGCUAAUACCGCAUACUAUCGGAUAACCCAUAUAGGAUUAGCUAGUGGGUGUGGUAAUGGCUACCCUAGGCGAAGCUCCCUAGCUGGUCUGAGAGGAUGAGCAGCCACACUGGGACGGAGACACGGCCCAGACUCAUACGGAGGCAGCAGUGGGGAAUAUUGUACAAUGGGCGCAAGCCUGACGCAGCCAUGCCGAGUGGAUGAAGAAGGCCCUAGGGUUGUAAAGUACUUCCAGUCGGGAGGCGUUACCGACAGAAGAAGCACCGGCUAACUCCGUGCCAGCAGCCGCGGUAAUUC
rnacentral:rRNA from 1 species